rnacentral:tRNA from 1 species
GCCCUAGUAGCUUAACCCCAAAGCGUCGGUCUUGUAAGCCGGAGAUCGGAGGUUAAACCCCUCCCUAGAGCC